rnacentral:tRNA from 1 species
AGCCCCGUGGUCCAGCGGUCAAAGAUACGGCCCUCUGGAGGCUGUGACCCAGGUUCGAAUCCUGGCGGGGCUA